GAUGAAGAACGCAGCGAAAUGCGAUAAGUAGUGUGAAUUGCAGAAUUCAGUGAAUCAUCGAAUCUUUGAACGCACAUUGCGCCCCUUGGUAUUCCAUGGGGCAUGCCUGUUCGAGCGUCAUUUGUACCUUCAAGCUUUGCUUGGUGUUGGGUGUUUGUCUCGCCUUUGCGUGUAGACUCGCCUUAAAACAAUUGGCAGCCGGCGUAUUGAUUUCGGAGCGCAGUACAUCUCGCGCUUUGCACUCAUAACGACGACGUCCAAAAGUACAUUUUUACACUCUUGACCUCGGAUCAGGUAGGGAUACCCGCUGAACUUAAGCAUAUCAAUAAGCGGGGGA
rnacentral:misc_RNA from 1 species